rnacentral:rRNA from 1 species
UUACCCAAUCCUGACACAGGGAGGUAGUGACAAUAAAUAACAAUACUGGACUUUUUCAAGCCCAGUAAUUGGAAUGAGAACAAUUUAAAUCCCUUAUCGAGUAUCAAUUGGAGGGCAAGUCUGGUGCCAGCAGCCGCGGUAAUUCCAGCUCCAAUAGCGUAUAUUAAAGUUGUUGCAGUUAAAAAGCUCGUAGUUGGAGUUCAGAGUGAGCUCAGACGGUCGGCCUAAUGGGUCAGAACUGGUUGACUCUCUCUUGUUUGUGGAUCCCGCCCGGAGUUAAUUCUUCGGAUGUGGACUCCACAUCGUUUACCUUGAAAAAAUUAGAGUGUUCAAAGCAGGCGUUUGCUUGAAUAUAUUAGCAUGGAAUAAUGGAAUAGGACCCUGGUUCUAUUUUGUUGGUUUUGAGGACCAGAGUAAUGAUUAAUAGGGAUAGUUGGGGGCAUUCAUAUUUCAUUGUCAGAGGUGAAAUUCUUGGAUUUAUGAAAGAUGAACUUCUGCGAAAGCAUUUGCCAAGGAUGUUUUCAUUAAUCAAGAACGAAAGUUAGGGGA